AACGAACGCUGGCGGCGUGGAUUAGGCAUGCAAGUCGAACGAGAUCCUAGAGAGUGGAGACUUCGGUCAAAGCACUUUAGGUGAGAGUGGCGAAAGGGUGAGGAAUACAUGGGUAACCUGCCUCAGAGUUUGGGAUAACCGACCGAAAGGUUGGCUAAUACCGAAUAUGACCACAGUAUCUGCGGAUACAGAGGUAAAAGAUAGCCUCUAUUUAUAAGCUGUCACUCAGAGAUGGGCCCGUGUCCUAUUAGCUUGAUGGUGAGGUAAGAGCUCACCAUGGCGAUGAUGGGUAGCUGGUCUGAGAGGAUGGUCAGCCACACUGGGACUGAGACACUGCCCAG
rnacentral:rRNA from 1 species